rnacentral:rRNA from 1 species
GACGAACGCUGGCGGCGUGGAUUAGGCAUGCAAGUCGAACGGUAUCAUCCUUUCGGGGGUGAGAGAGUGGCGAACUGGUGAGUAACACGUAGGUUAUCUACCCUCAAGACGGGGACAACCCAGGGAAACUUGGGCUAAUACCGGAUGUGAGCAACUUUUAGUUGUUUGAAAGGUGGCGUAAGCUGUCGCUUGGGGAUGAGCCUGCGUCCUAUUAGUUAGUUGGUGAGGUAACGGCUCACCUAGGCAAUGAUAGGUAGGCGGCCUUAACGGGUGGUCGCCCACACUGGGAUUGAGAUACGGCCCAGACUCCUACGGGAGGCAGCAGUCGAGAAUAGUCUACAAUGGUCGGAAGACUGAUAGUGCGACGCCGCGUGAACGAUGAAUCCCUUCGGGGUGUAAAGUUCUUUUAUAUGUGAGCAGUGCUUCUUAUAUUUAACAGUAUGGGGAGAGAGAUAUUAGCAUAUGAAUAAGCAAACGGCUAAACUCCGUGCCAGCAGCCGCGGUAAACUCGU